GCUAUUUAGGUUAGAGUUUGAUCAUGGCUCAGAGCGAACGCUGGCGGCAGGCCUAACACAUGCAAGUCGAGCGCCCGUAGCAAUACGGGAGCGGCAGACGGGAGAGUAACACGUGGGAACGCGCCCUUCGGUUCGGAAUAACUCAGGGAAACUUGAGCUAAUACCGGAUACGCCCUUACGGGGAAAGAUUUAUUGCCGAAGGAACGGCCCGCGUCCGAUUAGCUAGUUGGUGGGGUAAUGGCUCACCAAGGCGACGAUCGGUAGCUGGUCUGAGAGGAUGACCAGCCUCACUGGGACUGAGACACGGCCCAGACUCCUACGGGAGGCAGCAGUGGGGAAUAUUGGACAAUGGGCGCAAGCCUGAUCCAGCCAUGCCGCGUGGAUGAUGAAGGCCCUAGGGUUGUAAAGUCCUUUUAACGGGGAAGAUAAUGACGGUACCCGUAGAAUAAGCCCCGGCUAACUUCGUGCCAGCAGCCGCGGUAAUCGCC
rnacentral:rRNA from 1 species